GGGUCUGUAGCUCAGUUGGUUAGAGCAGUCGACUCAUAAUCGAUUGGUCGCGGGUUCAAGUCCCUCCAGACCCACCA
rnacentral:tRNA from 1 species